rnacentral:lncRNA from 1 species
GGCAUCUCUUUCUUUAGGUUAGGGAAGUUUUUUUCUAUGAUUUUGUUGAAGAUAUUAACUGGUCCUUUGAGUUGGGAGUCUUCACUCUCUUCUAUACCCAUUAUCCUUAGGUUUGAUUUUCUCAUUGAGUCCUGGAUUUCAUGUAUGUGUUUGACCAGUAGCUUUUUCAGUUUUACAUUAUCUUUGACAGUUGUGUCUAUGAUUUCUAUGGAAUCUUCUGCUCCUGAGAUUCUUUCUUCUAUUCUUGUAUUCUGUUGGUGAUGUUUGUAUCUAUGGUUCCUUGUCUCUUCCUUUGACUUUCUAUAUAGGGUUGUACC